GAACUUGUUCUCAACUAGCCUACCUGGUUAAAUAAAGGGAACUUGUUCUCAACUGGUUAAAUAAAGGUGAAAAAGAAGCCUUCCAUGUAAUUCCAUCCAAAAUCAGGUUGUAGGUUUGGAGUUUUAAUUUAGAGUGAAGGUUAUGUUGAGGAGGGUAGUAUCCUGUAUAUGUCCUGGUUACAUAGUGAAGGUCAUGUUGUUUAGGGUAGCAUCCUGUAUAUGUCCUGGUGACAUAGUGAAGGUUAUGUUGAGGAGGGUAGUAUCCUGUAUAUGUCCUGGUUACAUAGUGAAGGUUAUGUUGAGGAGGGUAGUAUCCUGUAUAUGUCCUGGUUACAUAGUGAAGGUUAUGUUGAGGAGGGUAGUAUCCUGUAUAUGUCCUGGUUACAUAGUGAAGGUUAUGUUGAGGAGGGUAGUAUCCUGUAUAUGUCCUGGUUACAUAGUGAAGGUUAUGUUGAGGAGGGUAGUAUCCUGUAUAUGUCCUGGUUACAUAGUGAAGGUUAUGUUGAGGAGGGUAGUAUCCUGUAUAUGUCCUGGUUACAUAGUGAAGGUUAUGUUGAGGAGG